rnacentral:rRNA from 1 species
GGGUUGUGAGGUUAAGCGACUAAGCGUACACGGUGGAUGCCCUGGCAGUCAGAGGCGAUGAAGGACGUGCUAAUCUGCGAUAAGCGUCGGUAAGGUGAUAUGAACCGUUAUAACCGGCGAUUUCCGAAUGGGGAAACCCAGUGUGUUUCGACACACUAUCAUUAACUGAAUCCAUAGGUUAAUGAGGCGAACCGGGGGAACUGAAACAUCUAAGUACCCCGAGGAAAAGAAAUCAACCGAGAUUCCCCCAGUAGCGGCGAGCGAACGGGGAGGAGCCCAGAGCCUGAAUCAGUGUGUGUGUUAGUGGAAGCGUCUGGAAAGGCGCGCGAUACAGGGUGACAGCCCCGUACACAAAAAUGCACAUGCUGUGAGCUCGAUGAGUAGGGCGGGACACGUGGUAUCCUGUCUGAAUAUGGGGGGACCAUCCUCCAAGGCUAAAUACUCCUGACUGACCGAUAGUGAACCAGUACCGUGAGGGAAAGGCGAAAAGAACCCCGGCGAGGGGAGUGAAAAAGAACCUGAAACCGUGUACGUACAAGCAGUGGGAGCACGCUUAGGCGUGUGACUGCGUACCUUUUGUAUAAUGGGUCAGCGACUUAUAUUCUGUAGCAAGGUUAACCGAAUAGGGGAGCCGAAGGGAAACCGAGUCUUAACUGGGCGUUAAGUUGCAGGGUAUAGACCCGAAACCCGGUGAUCUAGCCAUGGGCAGGUUGAAGGUUGGGUAACACUAACUGGAGGACCGAACCGACUAAUGUUGAAAAAUUAGCGGAUGACUUGUGGCUGGGGGUGAAAGGCCAAUCAAACCGGGAGAUAGCUGGUUCUCCCCGAAAGCUAUUUAGGUAGCGCCUCGUGAAUUCAUCUCCGGGGGUAGAGCACUGUUUCGGCAAGGGGGUCAUCCCGACUUACCAACCCGAUGCAAACUGCGAAUACCGGAGAAUGUUAUCACGGGAGACACACGGCGGGUGCUAACGUCCGUCGUGAAGAGGGAAACAACCCAGACCGCCAGCUAAGGUCCCAAAGUCAUGGUUAAGUGGGAAACGAUGUGGGAAGGCCCAGACAGCCAGGAUGUUGGCUUAGAAGCAGCCAUCAUUUAAAGAAAGCGUAAUAGCUCACUGGUCGAGUCGGCCUGCGCGGAAGAUGUAACGGGGCUAAACCAUGCACCGAAGCUGCGGCAGCGACGCUUAUGCGUUGUUGGGUAGGGGAGCGUUCUGUAAGCCUGUGAAGGUGUGCUGUGAGGCAUGCUGGAGGUAUCAGAAGUGCGAAUGCUGACAUAAGUAACGAUAAAGCGGGUGAAAAGCCCGCUCGCCGGAAGACCAAGGGUUCCUGUCCAACGUUAAUCGGGGCAGGGUGAGUCGACCCCUAAGGCGAGGCCGAAAGGCGUAGUCGAUGGGAAACAGGUUAAUAUUCCUGUACUUGGUGUUACUGCGAAGGGGGGACGGAGAAGGCUAUGUUGGCCGGGCGACGGUUGUCCCGGUUUAAGCGUGUAGGCUGGUUUUCCAGGCAAAUCCGGAAAAUCAAGGCUGAGGCGUGAUGACGAGGCACUACGGUGCUGAAGCAACAAAUGCCCUGCUUCCAGGAAAAGCCUCUAAGCAUCAGGUAACAUCAAAUCGUACCCCAAACCGACACAGGUGGUCAGGUAGAGAAUACCAAGGCGCUUGAGAGAACUCGGGUGAAGGAACUAGGCAAAAUGGUGCCGUAACUUCGGGAGAAGGCACGCUGAUAUGUAGGUGAAGUCCCUCGCGGAUGGAGCUGAAAUCAGUCGAAGAUACCAGCUGGCUGCAACUGUUUAUUAAAAACACAGCACUGUGCAAACACGAAAGUGGACGUAUACGGUGUGACGCCUGCCCGGUGCCGGAAGGUUAAUUGAUGGGGUCAGCGCAAGCGAAGCUCUUGAUCGAAGCCCCGGUAAACGGCGGCCGUAACUAUAACGGUCCUAAGGUAGCGAAAUUCCUUGUCGGGUAAGUUCCGACCUGCACGAAUGGCGUAAUGAUGGCCAGGCUGUCUCCACCCGAGACUCAGUGAAAUUGAACUCGCUGUGAAGAUGCAGUGUACCCGCGGCAAGACGGAAAGACCCCGUGAACCUUUACUAUAGCUUGACACUGAACAUUGAGCCUUGAUGUGUAGGAUAGGUGGGAGGCUUAGAAGUGUGGACGCCAGUCUGCAUGGAGCCGACCUUGAAAUACCACCCUUUAAUGUUUGAUGUUCUAACGUUGACCCGUAAUCCGGGUUGCGGACAGUGUCUGGUGGGUAGUUUGACUGGGGCGGUCUCCUCCUAAAGAGUAACGGAGGAGCACGAAGGUUGGCUAAUCCUGGUCGGACAUCAGGAGGUUAGUGCAAUGGCAUAAGCCAGCUUGACUGCGAGCGUGACGGCGCGAGCAGGUGCGAAAGCAGGUCAUAGUGAUCCGGUGGUUCUGAAUGGAAGGGCCAUCGCUCAACGGAUAAAAGGUACUCCGGGGAUAACAGGCUGAUACCGCCCAAGAGUUCAUAUCGACGGCGGUGUUUGGCACCUCGAUGUCGGCUCAUCACAUCCUGGGGCUGAAGUAGGUCCCAAGGGUAUGGCUGUUCGCCAUUUAAAGUGGUACGCGAGCUGGGUUUAGAACGUCGUGAGACAGUUCGGUCCCUAUCUGCCGUGGGCGCUGGAGAACUGAGGGGGGCUGCUCCUAGUACGAGAGGACCGGAGUGGACGCAUCACUGGUGUUCGGGUUGUCAUGCCAAUGGCACUGCCCGGUAGCUAAAUGCGGAAGAGAUAAGUGCUGAAAGCAUCUAAGCACGAAACUUGCCCCGAGAUGAGUUCUCCCUGACUCCUUGAGAGUCCUGAAGGAACGUUGAAGACGACGACGUUGAUAGGCCGGGUGUGUAAGCGCAGCGAUGCGUUGAGCUAACCGGUACUAAUGAACCGUGAGGCUUAACCUUACAACGCCGAAG